CGCCCCCUAAUUCAUUCGUUUAAUAAAUUAGCUGUGGAUGUGUCACAAUUUGUCUAAUCUUCUCAAAUUUUGGUAGGAGCGUAGAUACUAUGACUCUGCACAUAUUUGCAAUUGGUUUGUAUUAGCUCCGCCCAACAGGAAGUCGGCCAUAUUGGAUUUUGUAAUUUUUUUUACACUUUUUUUCACAAACUCAUUUAAACUGCUCCUAAAGUCUUUGUCAGAUUACCUCUAAAUUAGCUGAGAAUGAACAUCAGACACAGUUGAUGAAAAUUGCCAAAGGAAUAGUUGAUCGCUAAAACGGUGACGUAAUGGCGAGCAAUUGAUUGACUAGAGACGCAACACUAAACCAAAGUGAAACCAUGACACAGUCAGAACACAGAUGAUUAAAAAUUCAUGAAACUUGGCAAAAACACAAGAGACAUCAUAAGACACGUUUUUAGUAUUGGAAUGAUUGACUCCGCCCAACAGGAAGUCGGCCAUUUUGAAAUAAGUGCAUUUUACACACAUUUUUUGCAUACUUUGUCGAACUCCUCCUAGGGAAUUUGUUGAAUACUCUUGAUAUUUGUCAGCAAAAAACUACUUCAAUCCGUGAUGAUAAAUUGCGAAGGAAUAGUCGAUAUCUUAAACGAGGACGAAAUGGCGGACAGUUGAACUGCUUGAGAUGCCCCAUUAAAAUAGGAAGUGAAUACAUUCUGGUGCUGGUAGGUGUUUGAGGAGGUUAAAAAGGUUGAAAACUCGAAAAUUUACAGGCCUGCUUGAAUUAAGCAGUACUUUCAUCUGAAAUUAAAAUUUCUUGUAUACGCAUUUCAUUGGCUCUAUAGCGCCACCUAGGUUUCAAUGCAUAUUUGACAUUACGGGAAUGCUCAAAACCUCUUGAAAAUUGACAGAUUGCAUAAGACCUAAAAACACUUUACAAAUAUUUUGACAAAUUUUUCAUGUAUAGCUAGCAGACUCUACAGCGCCCCCUAAUUCGUUUGUUUAAUAAAUUAGCUGUGGAUGUGUCAAAAUUUGUCUAAUCUUCUCAAAUUUUGGUAGGAUCGUAGAUAGUAUGACCCUGCACAUAUUUGCAAUUGGCUUGUAUUAGCUCCGCCCAACAGGAAGUCGGCCAUAUUGGAAUUUGUAAUAUUUUUACAAAUUUUUCACAAACUAAUUUAAACUGCUCCUAAAGUCUUUGUCAGAUUACCUCUAAAUUAUCUGAGAAUGAACAUCAGACACAGUUGAUGAAAAUUGCCAAAGGAAAAGUUGAUCGCUAAAACGGUGACGUAAUAGCGAGCAAUUGAUUGACUAGAGACGCAACACUAAACCAAAGUGAAACCAUGACACGGUCAGAACACAGAUGAUUAAAAAUUCAUGAAACUUGGCAAAAACACAAGAGACAUCAUUAGACACGUUUUCAGUAUUGGUAGGACUGACUCCGCCCAACAGGAAGUCGGCCAUUUUGAAAUAUCUGAAUUUUACAUACAUUUUUUGCGUAUGUUGUCAAACUACUCCAAGAAAUUUUGUUGAAUUCUCUUGGUAUUUUGUAAAAAUAAACAUUGAACAUAUCUGAUGAUAAA